UCCGCCCUCCAACAUCUUCCCAAAUGUCAUUGUUAAUAAAAAAAAAAUAAAAAAUAAAAUAAAAAAAUAAAAUUAUUAACAAUGACAUUUGGGAAGAUGUUGGAGGGCGGA
rnacentral:miRNA from 1 species